GACGAACGCUGGCGGCGUGCCUAAUACAUGCAAGUUGAGCGCUGAAGGUUGGUACUUGUACCGACUGGAUGAGCAGCGAACGGGUGAGUAACGCGUGGGGAAUCUGCCUUUGAGCGGGGGACAACAUUUGGAAACGAAUGCUAAUACCGCAUAAAAACUUUAAACACAAGUUUUAAGUUUGAAAGAUGCAAUUGCAUCACUCAAAGAUGAUCCCGCGUUGUAUUAGCUAGUUGGUGAGGUAAAGGCUCACCAAGGCGAUGAUACAUAGCCGACCUGAGAGGGUGAUCGGCCACAUUGGGACUGGGACACGGCCCAAACUCCUACGGGAGGCAGCAGUAGGGAAUCUUCGGCAAUGGACGAAAGUCUGACCGAGCAACGCCGCGUGAGUGAAGAAGGUUUUCGGAUCGGAAAACUCUGUUGGUAGAGAAGAAAGUUGGUGAGAGUGGAAAGCUCAUCAAGUGACGGUAACUACCCAGAAAGGGACGGCUAACUACGUG
rnacentral:rRNA from 1 species